GCAGAGAGGCGGAGAAACGAAGUAGAGAAAACAGAUUAAAACCAACAUUUGAAACGUUGUCUCGGUUUGUCAGUACUGUGAGAAUAUGAUUACUGAAGAAGUUUGGAUUCUAAAAGAAGCUUGGGGCUGCUUUUUUGUCGAACAUGAGUGAGGCUGGAAGCUGAAUACACCUGCGGCUAGAAGGUGUCAGCAUUUCGUCCACGACAUCGUCUACGAUUGCUGAGAUGUCGUCCACGAUCGGAGAGACACUGUUGAGGAUGAGGGAGACAUUGUCUACGAUCAGAGACAUUGUCCAUGAUCGCAGAGACUUUGUCAAAGACGAGAGAGACGUUGUCCAUGAUCAGAGACAUUGUCCCAUGCUUCGUAGAGCUCUGCGCAAGAAUCGGUAGAGACACUGUGGUUCCUCGAUUCGACGGCAUGACCGCGAUCAUGGAGACAUUGUCGAUGGUCACAGAGACACCGUCUAUGAUCUCAGAGACAUCGCCCACGAUCAUAAAGACAUUGUCCAUGAUCACAGAGACUUUGUCCAUAAUCUCAGAGACAUUGUCCGCGAUCACAAAGACGUAGUCCACAAUCGCAGAGAGCCAUCGUACAGCAAGGAAGUUGUUUGAGACCAGGACAGAGGCCUCCAGGUGUCACCACUUUGUCCACAACAUCGUCUACGAUUGCUGAGACGUUGUCCACGAUCGGAGAGACACUGUUGAGGAUGAGGGAGACAUCGUCCACGAUCAGAGACAUUGUCCAUGAUCGCAGAGACUUUGUCAAAGACGAGAGAGACGUUGUCCAUGAUCAGAGACAUUGUCCCAUGCUUCGUAGAGCUCUGCGCAAGAAUCGGUAGAGACACUGUGGUUCCUCGAUUUGACGGCAUGACCGCGAUCAUGGAGACAUUGUCGAUGGUCACAGAGACACCGUCUAUGAUCUCAGAGACAUUGCCCACGAUCAUAAAGACAUUGUCCAUGAUCACAGAGACUUUGUCCAUAAUCUCAGAGACAUUGUCCGCGAUCACAAAGACGUAGUCCACAAUCGCAGAGAGCCAUCGUACAGCGAGGAAGUUGUUUGAGACCAGGACAGAGGCCUCCAGGUAAUUCACAAACCGCUUUAUAUCAACUGUCCAACACAGAGCACUGACAUUUAACUGUUUAUGUUCGGUAUUCAGUAUAUCUGAAAAGUGUUAUAAAUAGAAGUAAUUUGCUAUACAAAAACAAUGCAUAAGUAAUCUACAUUAAUAGACGUAAUGUAAAGUAAAUUGUAAUCUCAGAAGUAGUGCGAAAAAAAAUCACAGUAGUAAGACAUCAAAAACUGUCAAAAAAAAAGUCAUAAUGUAGUAAGACAUAAAGAAUGUCAUGGUAUAGUAUGGAGUCUAGACCGUACUCUUUUAUGUAAUUUGACAGAAAGAGACCCAACAAAUCCCACCAUGAGCAGCACUAGGUGACAGUGGCAAGAAAAAACUUCUUUUAAGAAGUAGAAACCUUGAACAGAAGCAGAUUUAGGGUGGGCAACCAUCUGCCUCACCAUGUUGGGUAAUAUAGUGAAGUAUCAAAAAUGUGGUGAAAAUAUUAUACUAUAGUAAAGCAUGACAAUGUCUUAGUAUAACAUGGCAUGAAAUGUUUUGUUAACUUCUCUGGUUCAGCUGUAAUGUUGAAUAUUUCUGUGUGUUUUCAUGGUUAAACUGUUGAUGAGGAAUAGGUAGUAGUGUAUUGAUCAUUUUCCUUUGUAUGUUUCUCUUUGAUUUCCUCCAGGUGUCACCACUUUGUCCACAACAUCGUCUACGAUUGCUGAGACGUUGUCCACGAUCGGAGAGACACUGUUGAGGAUGAGGGAGACAUCGUCCACGAUCAGAGACAUUGUCCAUGAUCGCAGAGACUUUGUCAAAGACGAGAGAGACGUUGUCCAUGAUCAGAGACAUUGUCCCAUGCUUCGUAGAGCUCUGCGCAAGAAUCGGUAGAGACACUGUGGUUCCUCGAUUUGACGGCAUGACCGCGAUCAUGGAGACAUUGUCGAUGGUCACAGAGACACCGUCUAUGAUCUCAGAGACAUUGCCCACGAUCAUAAAGACAUUGUCCAUGAUCACAGAGACUUUGUCCAUAAUCUCAGAGACAUUGUCCGCGAUCACAAAGACGUAGUCCACAAUCGCAGAGAGCCAUCGUACAGCGAGGAAGUUGUUUGAGACCAGGACAGAGGCCUCCAGGUAAUUCACAAACCGCUUUAUAUCAACUGUCCAACACAGAGCACUGACAUUUAACUGUUUAUGUUCGGUAUUCAGUAUAUCUGAAAAGUGUUAUAAAUAGAAGUAAUUUGCUAUACAAAAACAAUGCAUAAGUAAUCUACAUUAAUAGACGUAAUGUAAAGUAAAUUGUAAUCUCAGAAGUAGUGCGAAAAAAAAUCACAGUAGUAAGACAUCAAAAACUGUCAAAAAAAAAGUCAUAAUGUAGUAAGACAUAAAGAAUGUCAUGGUAUAGUAUGGAGUCUAGACCGUACUCUUUUAUGUAAUUUGACAGAAAGAGACCCAACAAAUCCCACCAUGAGCAGCACUAGGUGACAGUGGCAAGAAAAAACUUCUUUUAAGAAGUAGAAACCUUGAACAGAAGCAGAUUUAGGGUGGGCAACCAUCUGCCUCACCAUGUUGGGUAAUAUAGUGAAGUAUCAAAAAUGUGGUGAAAAUAUUAUACUAUAGUAAAGCAUGACAAUGUCUUAGUAUAACAUGGCAUGAAAUGUUUUGUUCUCUGGUUCAGCUGUAAUGUUGAAUAUUUCUGUGUGUUUUCAUGGUUAAACUGUUGAUGAGGAAUAGGUAGUAGUGUAUUGAUCAUUUUCCUUUGUAUGUUUCUCUUUGAUUUCCUCCAGGUGUCACCACUUUGUCCACAACAUCGUCUACGAUUGCUGAGACGUUGUCCACGAUCGGAGAGACACUGUUGAGGAUGAGGGAGACAUCGUCCACGAUCAGAGACAUUGUCCAUGAUCUCAGAGACUUUGUCAAAGACGAGAGAGACGUUGUCCAUGAUCAGAGACAUUGUCCCAUGCUUCGUAGAGCUCUGCGCAAGAAUCGGUAGAGACACUGUGGUUCCUCGAUUUUGACGGCAUGACCGCGAUCAUGGAGACAUUGUCGAUGGUCACAGAGACACCGUCUAUGAUCUCAGAGACAUCGCCCAUGAUCAUAAAGACAUUGUCCAUGAUCACAGAGACUUUGUCCAUAAUCUCAGAGACAUUGUCCGCGAUCACAAAGACGUAGUCCACAAUCGCAGAGAGCCAUCGUACAGCGAGGAAGUUGUUUGAGACCAGGACAGAGGCCUCCAGGUAAUUCACAAACCGCUUUAUAUCAACUGUCCAACACAGAGCACUGACAUUUAACUGUUUAUGUUCGGUAUUCAGUAUAUCUGAAAAGUGUUAUAAAUAGAAGUAAUUUGCUAUACAAAAACAAUGCAUAAGUAAUCUACAUUAAUAGACGUAAUGUAAAAGUAAAUUGUAAUCUCAGAAGUAGUGCGAAAAAAAAAUCACAGUAGUAAGACAUCAAAAACUGUCAAAAAAAAGUCAUAAUGUAGUAAGACAUAAAGAAUGUCAUGGUAUAGUAUGGAGUCUAGACCGUACUCUUUUAUGUAAUUUGACAGAAAGAGACCCAACAAAUCCCACCAUGAGCAGCACUAGGCGACAGUGGCAAGAAAAAACUUCUUUUAAGAGGUUGAACAGAAGCAGACUCAGGGUGGGUGGCCAUCUGCCUCACCAUGUUGGGUAGUAUAGUGAAGUAUCAAAAAUGUUGUGAAAAUAUUAUACUAUAGUAAGGCAUGACAAUGUCUUAGUAUAACAUGGCAUGAAAUGUUUUGUUAACUUCUCUGGUUCAGCUGUAAUGAAUAUUUCUGUGUUUUUUCAUGGUUAAACUGUUGAUGAGGAAUAGGUAGUAGUGUAUUGAUCAUUUUCCUUUGUAUAUUUCUCUUUGAUUUCCUCCAGGUGUCACCACUUCGUCCACAACAUCGUCUACGAUUUCUGACACGUUGUCCACGAUCGGAGAGACACUGUUGAGGAUGAGGGAGACAUCGUCCACGAUCAGAGACAUUGUCCAUGAUCGCAGAGACCUUGUCAAAGACGAGAGAGACGUUGUUCAUGAUCAGAGACAUUGUCCCAUGCUUCGUAGAGCUCUGCGCAAGAAUCGGUAGAGACACUGUGGUUUCUCGAUUCGACGGCAUGACCGCGAUCAUGGAGACAUUGUCGAUGGUCACAGAGACACCGUCUAUGAUCUCAGAGACAUCGCCCACGAUCAUAAAGACAUUGUCCAUGAUCACAGAGACUUUGUCCAUAAUCUCAGAGACAUUGUCUGCGAUCACGAAGACGUAGUCCGCAAUCGCAGAGAGCCAUCGUACAGUGCAUCGUACGGAAGUUGUUUGAGACCAGGACCGAGGCCUCCAGGAGGAGAAGGAGAAGACAGCAUCACCUGAAGAGGACAACAAAAGUAAUUGAAUGCUCUUAAAGAUGUUAUUAGAUGUGUAAGACUACGCUUGUCCUCAUAUGUGCUCAUCACUACAUUUAAUGUGAGGUGAUUUAAUAAAAUAAAGUGUCUCCAAGUGGUCAAACAUCUGUCAUCUUUGCUGUGGUUUGUUCAAUGUUGUCUAGAUCAUAAUCAAUAAAGCUUUGUAGCUUAACAUUUGAGUUGAGUUUCUCUAUUUUUGAAUGUAUAUCACAAAAAUGAUUUUGUAAUGCAGAAUGCCUACUAUUCUCUACUUGCAAAAUCUAUAAGGCUAAAGAAACCUGUAACCCUAACCCUAACCCUAACCUCUGGCUACAAGUGGCAAAAAACAUAACCCUAACCCUAACCUCUAGCUACAAGUGGCUUCUGGCUAAAAAUAUUCACUGUCAUAAUAUUAAACAGACUAACCCUAACCCUAACCCUAGACCCUAACCUUAACCCUAACCCUAUUUUCUACUUGCAGCUUGCAAGAUCUAUAAUUGAGACUAAAAAAAGCUAAUAACAGUAACCCUAACCCUAACCUCCAGCUAGAAGAGGCUAAAGAAACCUCUAACCCUAACCUCCAGCUACAAGUGGCAAAAAACUGUAACCCUAACCCUAACCUCUAGCUACAAGUGGUUUCUGGCUAAAAAUAUUCACUGUCAUAAUAUUAAACAGACUAACCCUAACCCUAACCCUAUUCUCUACUUGCAGCUUGCAAAAUCUAUAAUUGAGAGUAAAAAAGCUAAUAACCGUAACCCUAACCCUAACCUCCAGCUAGAGGAGGCUAAAGAAACCUCUAACCCUAACCCUAACCUCCGGCUACAAGUAGCAAAAAACCGUAACCCUAACCCUAACCUCUGGCUACAAGUGGCUUCUGGCUAAAAAUAUUCAUUGUCAUAAUGUUAAACAGACUGGCAAAAGUGUUCAGAAGUAUUUACUUGAGUAAAUUCAGAGUUGCAGCAGCAAAGAUAUAAAAAGAUAAUAUAUAACAAUGUAUAAAGAGUAUAAACAAUAUGAAAAGUAUAAACUAUGUACACAGUACAUUGGAUUGGAUUUUGAGUAGUUUGAAAUAGCAAAAUACACAAAAUCUAACCUAACCCACAAACACUGUAGAGGUGUGACUGUGUGAAUAUGUGUGUAUCUGUGGAAAACAAAGGUAAGAUGGCUGCUUUAAGAUAGUUCAUUUGUCUCAAGAUCCAUGUCAUAGUCUAUAGUAAG